rnacentral:rRNA from 1 species
UGGGGAAUAUUGCACAAUGGGCGCAAGCCUGAUGCAGCCAUGCCGCGUGUAUGAAGAAGGCCUUCGGGUUGUAAAGUACUUUCAGUCGGGAGGAAGGUGUCAAGGUUAAUAACCUUGGCAAUUGACGUUACCGACAGAAGAAGCACCGGCUAACUCCGUGCCAGCAGCCGCGGUAAUACGGAGGGUGCAAGCGUUAAUCCGAAUUACUGGGCGUAAAGCGCUCGCAGGCGGUUGAUUGAGUCAGAUGUGAAAUCCCCGGGCUUAACCCGGGAAUUGCAUCUGAUACUGGUCAGCUAGAGUCUUGUAGAGGGGGGUAGAAUUCCAUGUGUAGCGGUGAAAUGCGUAGAGAUGUGGAGGAAUACCGGUGGCGAAGGCGGCCCCCUGGACAAAGACUGACGCUCAGGUGCGAAAGCGUGGGGAGCAAACAGG